rnacentral:rRNA from 1 species
GAUGAACGCUGGCGGCGUGCCUAAUACAUGCAAGUCGAGCGAACAGAUAAGGAGCUUGCUCCUUUGACGUUAGCGGCGGACGGGUGAGUAACACGUGGGUAACCUACCUAUAAGACUGGGAUAACUUCGGGAAACCGGAGCUAAUACCGGAUAACAUUUGGAACCGCAUGGUUCUAAAGUGAAAGAUGGUUUUGCUAUCAUUUAUAGAUGGACCCGCGCCGUAUUAGCUAGUUGGUAAGGUAACGGCUUACCAAGGCAACGAUACGUAGCCGACCUGAGAGGGUGAUCGGCCACACUGGAACUGAGACACGGACCAGACUCCUACGGGAGGCAGCAGUAGGGAAUCUUCCGCAAUGGGCGAAAGCCUGACGGAGCAACGCCGCGUGAGUGAUGAAGGGUUUCGGCUCGUAAAACUCUGUUAUUAGGGAAGAACAAACGUGUAAGUAACUGUGCACGUCUUGACGGUACCUAAUCAGAAAGCCACGGCUAACUACGUG